rnacentral:sRNA from 1 species
UUUCAUUCUCUUUGCUUUUGGCUAUGAGAACCGUGUUAUUUAUUCUCCUGUAAAUCAGAUUCUCUCUGCAGCUGCAUCUUUUCUUCAAUAGGCAAAUUAUAAAUACAUUUAGACAAAUUCGAUCGAGAUUUGGUUCGGGUUAGAGACUUGACAAUACAAAAAGCUGAUGAAGUUGUUUGGGUACGUGCAAGAGUUCAUACAAGCAGAGCUAAAGGGAAACAGUGCUUCUUAGUCCUACGUCAGCAGCAGUUUAAUGUCCAGGCUCUUGUGGCGGUGGGAGACCAUGCAAGCAAGCAGAUGGUUAAAUUUGCUGCCAACAUCAACAAAGAGAGCAUUGUGGAUAUAGAAGGUGUUGUGAGAAAAGUGAAUCAGAAAAUUGGAAGCUGUACACAGCAAGAUGUUGAGUUACAUG